rnacentral:rRNA from 1 species
UGGGGAAUUUUGGACAAUGGGCGAAAGCCUGAUCCAGCAAUGCCGCGUGAGUGAAGAAGGCCUUCGGGUUGUAAAGCUCUUUUGUCAGGGAAGAAACGGUGAGAGCUAAUAUCUCUUGCUAAUGACGGUACCUGAAGAAUAAGCACCGGCUAACUACGUGCCAGCAGCCGCGGUAAUACGUAGGGUGCAAGCGUUAAUCGGAAUUACUGGGCGUAAAGCGUGCGCAGGCGGUUUUGUAAGUCUGAUGUGAAAUCCCCGGGCUCAACCUGGGAAUUGCAUUGGAGACUGCAAGGCUAGAAUCUGGCAGAGGGGGGGUAGAAUUCCACGUGUAGCAGUGAAAUGCGUAGAUAUGUGGAGGAACACCGAUGGCGAAGGCAGCCCCCUGGGUCAAGAUUGACGCUCAUGCACGAAAGCGUGGGGAGCAAACAGGAUUAGAUACCCUGGUAGUCCACGCCCUAAACGAUGUCUACUAGUUGUCGGGUCUUAAUU